GACAGAGGGUGCAAACGUUGUUCGGAAUUACUGGGCGUAAAGCGCGUGUAGGCGGCCCUGCAAGUCGGAUGUGAAAUCCCACGGCUCAACCGUGGAAGUGCAUUCGAAACUGCAGGGCUAGAGUCCUGGAGAGGAAGGUGGAAUGCUUGGUGUAGAGGUGAAAUUCGUAGAUAUCAAGCGGAACACCGGUGGCGAAGGCGGCCUUCUGGACAGUGACUGACGCUGAGACGGCGAAAGCUAGGGGAGCAAACAGG
rnacentral:rRNA from 1 species